GAUUUCUGGCUUGAAACAUUUUGCCGGCCACGGUUUCGUGUGUUAGUGCUUGAUGUUCUGGCCAUCCUUCCAAUCGCUAUGCACCUUUCUUCAUUGAUUGGUGUGUGGUAUUGGAUCUUUUACUUUGAAAAAAUUAGAGUGUUUCAAGCAGGCUUUAUGCUAUGAAUACAUUAGCAUGGAAUAAUAAUUUAGGACUUUGUUUCUAUUUUGUUGGUUUCUAGAGGCGAAGUAAUGAUUGAUAGGGAUAGUUGGGGGUGCUAGUAUUCAGCGGCCAGAGGUGAAAUUCUUGGAUUCGCUGAAGACUAACUUAUGCGAAAGCAUU
rnacentral:rRNA from 1 species